UCAGGUUCUUCUUCGUUAUUAACUAUCACUUCUGAAUUCUUUCUGCAACCUAUACGAAUACGAACCCUAGAUAAUAACUCGAACUUCUUAAUCGAACGUCUGGAAUUCGAUUUACUGAGCCUACUAACAGAUCAAAAUUUAAAGAAACUGAGGACCCCAUGACCUGAUUCUCUCUUAUUCUAAUUAGGGUAAACUUUCUUACUCUCAGGAUUUUAUAAAUCCAUCAAUUCAUCUGUUCGUUCUCAUCAAGAUUCAUGGUUCAAAGGAAGUCAAAUCAGUGGGGAAUCAAUCGAAAUUUAUGACACCAGGCCAUUGAAGCGAAAUAUGAAUAAUCCCUGAUGAUUUCACGGGUUUCUUUUUGAGGUCCUGAAUUUUGUUUGUUGGUGGAGAAGAUGUAUUUAGUACUGGUGGAAUUUGGGGGGUUGCUGGAUGAUGCAGGAUGCUUGGGUUACUAUUGGAUUUUUGAUGUCCUGACUUUAUGGGUUAUAAUGAGUUCAUGUUUCAUGUUACCCGCAAGAGCUUGAUUCAGAAAUACCUGGAUUAGAUUUUCAAUGUUUGAAAUUGUUGUUGUAAUAAAAUCGGUACAAUUCAUUGUUGUUCUUCAUAUCCUAAACAGUUUUAGAGACAAAAGCAGGUAUUUGCAUCAACCAAAGAAGAAAAUGUGAAGCCGCAGACUCGGAGAAGCACUGAUGAGAUGGUAAACCUUUGCAGUUUGCACCACCAGCUAGCAACUCCCGCUGGGUAAUAUAGCUCAUGUCGACGGUAGAGACUAAUAGUUCAAGUGAAGAGUUAAUUUUUUGAUGUGAAAGUAGAGAUUUUUAAGGUGAAGAUGUGUGUAAAGCAGAUUGUAAACCAAAUAGAAAGUGACAACAUAGACGUGUUAAAGUAAAGAAGAAGGAAAAAUCUAAACUUGCUAGAGAAUGGUGGAGGGAAGCGAAUUCUACUGGUGGUGGUCAGGAGGAUGAGAUAAUUGGUGUAGAGAUGAAGGUAUGAAUGUUGGUAUUAAAAAGAAGAAUAAAAGGAGCUGGAGUAGAAAGUAUUAGGGUAUUAAAAAGAGAUGAAGGGGGAGAAUGACAUAGGGGUUCUAUUACGCGUCCACACAAUCUCCAACCUUUCAGGAUGAAUUGUUGCCACAUAUUCAAAUUAACACCAGAUGAAUUUGGUUAGAACAAUUGGCCAUCGAAGAGCUUGAAACCUUAAGAACAAACGAAGUGAAUUUGAGACACCUCACCGAAGGAAAGUCUAUUUGAAGUUCAAGGAAUAACAGCUCACUGGUAUUUUGAAUGUUUUUGUGUACAAAUCCACGUAUCUUCACUCCUUUCAUUAUGUGAUGUGUACAAUUCAUACUAAAGUAUUUUGCAGAACAACUGAUCGAUCCAACUUAACAUGGACUCCUGCAACAUAUUUGUAUUCUCGCCUUUUAUGUCCAUCCAUCCACCCAAGAAUUAUAAGAAGAACGAAGAAAAACAAAAAGAAAGGGGCAAUGGGGCUCAUCCAUCUGAUAUGCAGGAUGUCUGGCCUUCUAUUUGGAACUGAACCAGCGGUUAUCUCAAAACAUUGCACUCAUUUCUUGGCAGAAAAACAGGAUGAUGGUGUCAAUGGUGAUCUUGGUCUCAGACAGCUAUGCACGUUCUAAGUUGUACCUCAUUGUAGCAAAUUUUCUGAUGGUUUUCUGUUGCAAGGGAUCUUGAGUUGUUGCUUUCAGAUUAAAAUCACUGCCAGUUAUAAUCUUCGCGAGUAUAAUUGAAAAUAGAGGUUUACAAUAAUGUAUUCAGAUUUCAUUGGCCGGGUUUGAUACCCUUUAUAUGCUGACCUGAAGGCCAGAAAGAUCUUUGGAAGAUCAUUUUGCUGAAACAAUCUCUGAAUCCAAACCAGAGAUUGAUUAAUAUUUGGAACAUAAGCUUUUUUGGAAGUUUUUUUGCAAGUUGAAGAUGUAUCGGAUACCACAAAGAGGGGAAAUUUGAGUGGUUACCAAGAAAUUCAGAGACUCUCCAUGGAAGUGUUUAGCCCAAGCACUUCAGGGUAUAUGGGUUAAUGUUCUUUUUCACAGUGCUUCUGUAUAGAUUAAUGGUAAACCUGUGUGCAUCACUCGCGAUAAUAAGGAUUUGCGAUUGAAAAUCCUUCAACAAUUUUCGUUUCCCACUAUUGAAGCUAGGUCUUAUAAAGACUGAAUAAUAACAGUUGCGUCAUGGAAUGUAUCCAUGAUGGCAUAGUGCAGGUAUGUACCAUUAAGUAUGAAAUCAAACUGCUGUCUUAGCUCAACUGGUAGAGCACAUGGUUAUCGGAUAUAGCGAUGUAGAUGCGGGUUCGACUCACACAGAUGGCAUAACAAUUUAAGAUAUCAAUGUUAUAUUAUAUAUCCCAGCGAUACAUAAUGCAAGUUUAUUUAUAGGUUGUUGGUUUCAGUCAUGUAGUUACAAAAAUCACAGGAUUCUGGAUAAUCAUUAGAUAAUCCCUGAGCCGUGGAACUGAUGCAAUUGAGAAACAUCAGUUUUUGGAGUACAUGCUCUAAUUAAUUGGUUAAUCCAAUUUAUGUUUUUCGUUGUUGCUUAAUUGUUUGGCGUGUAAUCAUGGACUUCUUCGAUUCAUAGGCUAAUAAAGAUUGAUACAUGAGUGUACGAUUAACCCCCUUCUUCAGUUUGUACAUUUAAUUUUAUUUUUGAGGCCUUUGUCUCUAUAUAUAUGGGAGAAAUAAGAUUAUUAGACCACAUCCGAAAUUUUUGUAGAAGGUUGAUGGGUUUUGAUUGCUAAUUGUGCUAUUCCGUUGCUAAAUUUGUAUACUUUGGGCGCGUAUAGGUAAAUUUAUAUUAAUUUGGUUGGGGAUUUGUUAAGAACCCUUUAAUAAUUUUUGUUUCCAACAACAGAGGCUAGGUCUUAUAUAGACUGAAACCUAAUAAUGGGAUUUAAUCAUCAUAUAUUCUAUUAUUGACACAUGACAUUUCAGGUUAAGGUCUCAAAAGAAGGUUGACCAAUCACUAACGGAUAUGGUGGUCCUAAUCCCUCAGAAGAAAGCUUCUUUAUCUCGACUUCUUAAGGUAUCCCAAUCAUCUGCAUAGAAAGCACGCAAGAGAAGAGAGCACAACAGUGUAAGGAGAAAGAGGGAGGUCAAGAAGAACGACAAUCUGAGAACCAGGGGCAUCAACAGUUACAACACCAUCCACAGUUGAUAUUCCAUCCUACCAUACUCAGGCUGCUCUGCAACAGGUGUGUUGGACAAGUAGAUUAAUUAGUCUGGAGAAGUAGUAUAUGGUGAAACCUGCAAUAGUCGAGCAAGGGUUUCUUUGCCAAAUAUUCUCAAACCUAAACAGAUACUCACAUGCUAUUCUUUGAUUCCCAAACCUAAACGGAUAUCACAUGCUAUUCAAAGAAUACGUCUGAUGGUAUUGUCUCGGACUAUCCGAUCAAUGUACUAAUGAAUCUCACCAUAACUCUAGCAUGGAUCCUGCAGAUAUAACUUUGGGUUCAUCCUACACUAGAAUGUAACUUCACAUUUAAACUAUUUCUUGGCUUUGUACUUUCUUAUAUUUGUCCAUCUAUGUUUGACAUUAAGUGUAUGUAUGCCACCGAAGAUUUUGCAUCAGAUGAUUCAGAUUAAUCGUGCAUGAUUUUGGAAGAUGAGGACGAAUUCUUGGCUGCAAACUGGAUGACAGAACUCUAAAGGGUAAGGGUCCAAAAUUAUUUUCAAUACAUGGGAAACUUCGUCAUAGGACCGGAGUGUUCGAUAAGAAAAUCUUCAAAUAUAUUUUAGAAAUUAAUACAUAAUUGAAUAAUUGAUAUGGUGAUUUUUAAUUCUUAGCUAAAAUUCUACAUAGCUUUUUCUUAUCCAAACGUAAAAGUAAACAUGGAAAGGUGAAAGGUU